rnacentral:rRNA from 1 species
CAACGACUCUCGGCAACGGAUAUCUCGGCUCUCGCAUCGAUGAAGAACGUAGCGGAAUGCGAUACUUGGUGUGAAUUGCAGAAUCCCGUGAACCAUCGAGUCUUUGAACGCAAGUUGCGCCCGAAGCCGUCAGGCCGAGGGCACGUCUGCCUGGGCGUCACGC